AAUAAAAAAAGGGAAAAGUUGCUUUGCUUCUUCUCUCCACACCCUCGGCCAGCUGCUUUCGGCGAUGUUCCAGCGAGUCUUCCUGCCGGCAAGGUACUCUCCUCUCUAGGACCACACACAUGCUUCAAUUUCUUACAAGAAAAUAGAAGAUUAAGAUUCAAGUGUGGGUUUUGAAUCAAUUCUAGAGAAGAGGUUGAUUUCUUGAAUUGAAGACACUAACAAGCUUCAAGGUUAGUGAAGUACACGUUGCGUUUGUGGUAAGAUGCAAUUCGCUUUGAGGUGAGUCUAGUUCCGGUACCAGGGUCGCGGAUUAGGAGGAAGGCGCAUGACAUGGAUGGAC